rnacentral:rRNA from 1 species
GACGAACGCUGGCGGCGUGCUUAACACAUGCAAGUCGAACGGAAAGGCCCCUUUGGGCGUCCUCGAGUGGCGAACGGGUGAGUAACACGUGCGUAACCUGCCCUUGACUUCGGGAUCACCUCCGCAAACUGGGGCUACUACCGGAUAGACAUCCUUGCUGCAUCGUGGGGGUUGGAAAGCUUCGGCGGUUUUGGAUGGACUCGCGGCUUAUCAGCUUGUUGGUGGGGUAGUGGCUUACCAAGGCUUUGACGGGUAGCCGGCCUGGGAGGGCGACCGGCCACAUUGGGACUGAGAGACGGCCCAGACUCCUACGGGAGGCAGCAGUGGGGAAUAUUGCACAAUGGGCGGAAGCCUGAUGCAGCAACGCCGCGUGCGGGAUGACGGCCUUCGGGUUGUAAACCGCUUUCAGCAGGGGCGAAGCUUGUGGUGACGGUACCUGCAGAAGAAGCACCGGCUAACUACGUG